UGUGUGUGUGCGCGCGCGCGCGCGUACGUGCGCGCAGGUAGUGGAACUGGAUGGCCUCUGGAGCUUUUAGCCGUACUCCCGGGUCCUAGCUCUACGCAGUGCACAUCAGGAAUCCAGCAGAGAUCCGCCACCCCAUCCAGGGACCCUUGGGUCCGAGGAGAGGCCCAGCUAGUGGGUUAUCCUGGCAUUUAGUACAGAGUGAGUUUGCUGCGCUCCUCGUGAAGAGUAAGAGGCUUUUAUAAUCCAAGAGGCUUUCAGACCCUCUUCUCUUUCAUUCCAGGGGGUGGGGAAAAACACUACCCUGUGUGAGAGGAAGUUGGGAAGAGACAACAGGAAUUGGAGAAAGAGCCAGACAACUCAUUAGGAACAUUAAGGAGGUUGGUCCCAUAGAGAAGGGGACACCCGAGCUGACUCUGAAAAGAUGAGGAGGGGACAGGAAGUUGGUAAGGACCUGGCUUGAAUGAAAGACCUGAGGAAGGAGCCCUCGACCUCUAGUUCAGAAGCUCACCCCACUCCCAGGUAGGACUAGAGACCUUGAACCUCUUUAAAGAAAGCCAGCACCUAGAAGUUCCUGGCUUGUGCCAAGACAACAAUUGAACAUUUCCCUUAAAUCUGAGGAUGGGGGAUCCACGUGAGAAUGAAAAAUGGACAAGUAAAUGGGCUUUUGGCAAUGAAUAAGAGAUGCUUCACCGCGAUGAAGAGCGGCCCCCGCUUGCCACAACUCGAGAAAGCCCUCGCACAGAAACGAAGAUGCAACACAGCAAAAAUAAAUAAAUAAAUUAAUAAACUAGUACCCCCAACAUCUAAAAAAAAAAAGAGAGAUGCUUCCAAAGGUUUUCGUUGUAGAUUUCAUUUAUUU